rnacentral:lncRNA from 1 species
UAUGGGUGAACAUGACAUACCUGAGGUCCACCGGACUGCCUAUUUAUAUAGAGCAAUUCAUUUUGUCGUUUUCUGAGUUAAUGCGACAUGCGUUAAUAGCCAGUCCUAUGUUUACGACGUGGGUAUCAUUCCUUGAGGAUGGCGUACAACACUAAUCGCGUGCCGACUGUAGUGCUGCCGAAUUUGCCGGUGGUCAGUGAUGUCAAUUCUUGUCGGCACGUGCCAAUUGGCCUUUCAGCUGAUUGGCUCCUUGGCAGGGCCAAAGUCCCUACUUCGGUUUAUACCAAGGUCAAAGAAGUCGGUCUGAUUUGAGGUCGAGGUGCCUAAUAUUUUCCCCAUCACUAAUCAUCUUUUGGGUGCAAAAAUCUCACAACAACUACUACCCAUGGGCAAUCGGUGCCUUAUUGAUAUUGAAAAUGAUCUCAGAUAUGAUUGGACAGGCCUUCAGCCCAUAAGCCAACUAUAUUACUUAUAACUAAAUGCUUUCUCUAAAUCAAUAACAACUAAAUCUAGAUUAUUUCUCCUCCUCAACUCUUCCUAUCCUUUAACCUACUUAAAUAAAAAUUAUCAUGAUGGCAGACCGUCCUAACAUUUAGCAAAAAACCUACACUCGCAGGGGAAAAGUUGAACAGAUCAACACCAAAACAAAUCAUUGCAUGUCAAUCACAAACCCACACAAUCAUAUGAUCGAACACUUGAUGCAAACAAAGAUAUCAAAAAAAUAAAAAAAGAACCAAGAUGAUAAAGGAGAAGAUUCAUUGAUGCAGAACUAUAACGCCCCUCCCCCCACCCAAACACACACACACACAAAAGAAAAAGAAAACCAUGAAUCUUGAUUUGGAAUAAUAAAUCCCAGUACAAAUUCUUAUGAGUUUCUACCCAAUAUUUAAAGAGGAGCCAGAAAACGAUACCUUGGCCGCAGUUUCUUCGACCACGUCGGUUUCUGUGGCAUCUCCAUUGGCAGCAGCUAAGGGCGGAAAUCUUGGGAAGCGUAGAGGUCUUUCAGGGAAAGGGGAUAGGUUUAGACGUAGAGGCCUUGCGAGCCUCUGAUUAGGAAAGAAGAUCGCAACGCUCCUCGGAGUCUCGCGAGAUGCGACGGCCGGCCUCGGCGAGCGGAAGAGGAGAGCCGGAGUCCCAAGGAUUGCGGCCAUUGGUUGUUGGUGAGAAGAGACGAGCGAGAGCGAGGAGCUGCUAGGGAUAGGCCGAGGCGAAUCCGACCGGAAGGUUCAGGAGACUUCAGCUGCUUUCGAGCCCCGACCGUCCGGGCGAGGAGUAUCCG